AAGGACGAAAAGCGGAGGCCGCCCGCCUAUCGGCGAAACGCGCUGGAGGGCCUGCGAGGAGGCUGUUGCCGCCGCAGCAGGACCGAAGCGUCGCGAGCCGAUGGCGGCCGGAGCUAGACAAUUCGAAAAGCGGAGGCCGCAAUGGCCAACUGUCGAUACACAGCGCUUUCGUUUCGUUCGGUUUUGAGGGAAUGAGAAAUUCCUUCAGUUGCUUUGCGUCUGUGCCUGCGUCUGCUAGCAGGUUCAGGGAAGCAAGAUUUCUCGGCACAAAGCCGCAAGGAAGUUUGUUCAAAGAAGUCGCUUUGCGUCUACAAGCGGAUUCGGAGAAGCCGAAUUCCUCGACGCAAGACUGCAGAGAAGCAAAUUCAAGAAGCAGUCUCGUUCCUUGAAAACUAGAUAACCGGAAACGCAAAGGAAGAAGCCGAGAGCGCUGUA
rnacentral:misc_RNA from 1 species